rnacentral:rRNA from 1 species
UACGAAGGGGACUAGCGUUGUUCGGAAUUACUGGGCGUAAAGCGCACGUAGGCGGAUUUGUAAGUCAGGGGUGAAAUCCCGGGGCUCAACCUCGGAACUGCCUUUGAUACUGCAAAUCUCGAGUCCGAUAGAGGUGGGUGGAAUUCCUAGUGUAGAGGUGAAAAUUCGUAGAUAUUUAGGAAGAACACCGGUGGCGAAGGCGGCCCACUGGAUCCGGUACUGACGCUGAGGUGCGAAAGCGUGGGGAGGCAAA